GUUCAAUGUUAGCCUUGAUCGCAGAGUCAGCUUGAGGACAUCCUGAACCACAGGAGACCUUGUCUUAAACGAAACAAAGAUGAAGAAUGGGUCUCAAGAGCAAGAAGGUGUACACUUGUCUCCUCCAAGCCCUUGGUGCUGGGUCGACUGCUCCUCACGUGCUAUAGCAGGAAAAAAACAACAAGCAGCACUGAGGUGACCCCUACACUACUGUCAGAUGACCAAAGCUCCUGUGUCAUCACACUGGAGAGGAAGUGGUAGGUGUGGAAUGUAAGCCAGAAGACACCAGCUGAGUGCCGCCAGUAUGCCCAUCCCACUUUAUUUGACUAUUCUUUAUUAUGCACGUCGGCUCAGGCCCUAAGUGUACCCGGUGAAGCCGAAGUUGGUGUUCGUGUUCUCCAUCUCCUCCUUGAUUCUCCCGAAGAAUCUGCAGGGUCCUGCGGUCUUCUCUGCCUGGAGGAGUGGCAUGAGGGCGAUCCUGGCCUCCAAGUCCUCGAUCAGCAGGUGCCUACACUCCUGGUUCCACCUCAUUAUUCUCCAGUAGCCAAAGAUCAAGGCCCCGAUGCCCAAAGCAAACAUGCUGUAUCCCGACAGUCCCCAGCAGGGCAGGUUCCGCUUGUAAUCGAUGGGGCUGUAGCCCCCUGGUGGGGGCAUGUCCUGCUUCACCUUCGACGCCGACAUACUUUCAG
ensembl:lncRNA